UCCGGUGACCAUGGAGAGAGGGAAACACCCGUUCCCAUUCCGAACACGGCAGUUAAGCCUCUCAUCGUCAAUGGUACUGCAUGGGUAGCUGUGCGGGAGAGUAGAACGUUGCCGGGU
rnacentral:rRNA from 1 species